UGCGGCGGCCAUGGCCCAGGUGAGACGCCCGGUCCCAUUCCGAACCCGGAAGCUAAGGCCUGGCACGGCGAUGGUACUGCACCCGACA
rnacentral:rRNA from 1 species